rnacentral:rRNA from 1 species
GACGAACGCUGGCGGCGUGCUUUAGGCAUGCAAGUCGAACGCGAAAGCCCCUUCGGGGGUGAGUAGAGUGGCGAACGGGUGAGUAACACGUGGGUAACCUGCCCCUCGCAGGGGGAUAACCGGGGGAAACCCCGGCUAAUACCCCGUACGCUUGCUGGGGCGCAUGCUCCGGCAAGGAAAGGUAGCUUCGGCCAUCCGGCGAGGGAGGGGCCCGCGGCCCAUUAGCUAGUUGGUGGGGUAACGGCCCACCAAGGCGACGAUGGGUAGCUGGCCUGGGAGGGUGGUCAGCCACACUGGGACUGAGACACGGCCCAGACUCCUACGGGAGGCAGCAGCCAGGAAUCUUGCGCAAUGGGCGAAAGCCUGACGCAGCAACGCCGCGUGGGCGAUGAAGGCCUUCGGGUCGUAAAGCCCUGUUGUCGGGGACGAAGGGCGAAGGGUUAAUAGCCCCUAGCCUGACGGUACCCGACGAGGAAGCCCCGGCUAACUACGUG